GUUUGAUCAUGGCUCAGAUUGAACGCUGGCGGCAGGCCUAACACAUGCAAGUCGAGCGGAUGAAGGGAGCUUGCUCCUGGAUUCAGCGGCGGACGGGUGAGUAAUGCCUAGGAAUCUGCCUGGUAGUGGGGGAUAACGUCCGGAAACGGGCGCUAAUACCGCAUACGUCCUGAGGGAGAAAGUGGGGGAUCUUCGGACCUCACGCUAUCAGAUGAGCCUAGGUCGGAUUAGCUAGUUGGUGGGGUAAAGGCCUACCAAGGCGACGAUCCGUAACUGGUCUGAGAGGAUGAUCAGUCACACUGGAACUGAGACACGGUCCAGGCUCCUACGGGAGGCAGCAGUGGGGAAUAUUGGACAAUGGGCGAAAGCCUGAUCCAGCCAUGCCGCGUGUGUGAAGAAGGUCUUCGGAUUGUAAAGCACUUUAAGUUGGGAGGAAGGGCAGUAAGUUAAUACCUUGCUGUUUUGACGUUACCAACAGAAUAAGCACCGGCUAACUUCGUGCCAGCAGCCGCGGUAAUACGAAGGGUGCAAGCGUUAAUCGGAAUUACUGGGCGUAAAGCGCGCGUAGGUGGUUCAGCAAGUUGGAUGUGAAAUCCCCGGGCUCAACCUGGGAACUGCAUCCAAAACUACUGAGCUAGAGUACGGUAGAGGGUGGUGGAAUUUCCUGUGUAGCGGUGAAAUGCGUAGAUAUAGGAAGGAACACCAGUGGCGAAGGCGACCACCUGGACUGAUACUGACACUGAGGUGCAAAAGCGUGGGGAGCAAACAGGAUUAGAUACCCUGGUAGUCCACGCCGUAAACGAUGUCGACUAGCCGUUGGGAUCCUUGAGAUCUUAGUGGCGCAGCUAACGCGAUAAGUCGACCGCCUGGGGAGUACGGCCGCAAGGUUAAAACUCAAAUGAAUUGACGGGGGCCCGCACAAGCGGUGGAGCAUGUGGUUUAAUUCGAAGCAACGCGAAGAACCUUACCUGGCCUUGACAUGCUGAGAACUUUCCAGAGAUGGAUUGGUGCCUUCGGGAACUCAGACACAGGUGCUGCAUGGCUGUCGUCAGCUCAUGUCGUGAGAUGUUGGGUUAAGUCCCGUAACGAGCGCAACCCUUGUCCUUAGUUACCAGCACCUCGGGUGGGCACUCUAAGGAGACUGCCGGUGACAAACCGGAGGAAGGUGGGGAUGACGUCAAGUCAUCAUGGCCCUUACGGCCAGGGCUACACACGUGCUACAAUGGUCGGUACAAAGGGUUGCCAAGCCGCGAGGUGGAGCUAAUCCCAUAAAACCGAUCGUAGUCCGGAUCGCAGUCUGCAACUCGACUGCGUGAAGUCGGAAUCGCUAGUAAUCGUGAAUCAGAAUGUCACGGUGAAUACGUUCCCGGGCCUUGUACACACCGCCCGUCACACCAUGGGAGUGGGUUGCUCCAGAAGUAGCUAGUCUAACCGCAAGGGGGACGGUUACCACGGAGUGAUUCAUGACUGGGGUGAAGUCGUAACAAGGUA
rnacentral:rRNA from 1 species